UGGCGUUUUCCUCGGAACUUACAUUAAAUUUCAAUUCCCGUCAAGAGGCGUUCUACGUUUGCGGAAAAUUAUGUCCGCGGGAGAGCAGAACGCGCGAUGCUGUGCGUGACCUCGUCGGGAACUAUUGAACGACCACUAGACGAAAUCGCGGAGUAAUGAUCAACGACACGCGACCGAGACUGGCGACCACCAUCGCGGGUUACAGUCAGGCGAGUCGCACGUGUGAUCGUCGGCACGUGUCCGUGCACGACAACGGCAACGGUGGACCGUUGCUCUGGAUCGUUCUGCUUUGUUGCUGCGUCACGAUAACCUGCAGCACGAAGAUCGGCGGCGUAUCGUACAGGAAGGGCAUAAACGGACUUAAGGCAGCUUGGUUAAGAAAUCCGCCUCCGCUUCCGCAAAUGGGUUUCUGCGAUUUGGAGGGGCACUGCGAUUGGUUCUGGAACGAUACCUACGGUUUCCAGAAGGUCAGGGCGUUGCGAAGCAACUCGUUGAGGGCUUUUCCCACUACGGAUGCCAGCAACAACUCGAAUGGCCACUUUCUGUGGUUUACCGGCCCAGGGAACGUCCAAGUGUGGUCCAGAAAGAUCCCAUACUCGGGUCCGCAUUGCCGCGCUGAGUUCUGGCUUUAUAUGGUGGAAAUGGCAAACGGAUUCAUAAAUCUCGUUGUACAAACUAACAACACGAAGUCCAUCGCGUCGACGAAAGCCGGAAAUAACAGCGCUACAUGGAACAAAAUAAGUUUCUCCUUACGCUCGGUUGAGCAAACGUAUCAAUUAUUUUUAGAAGCCUACGUACCAUAUUCUAACGCGAGCAUUGGCGUUGACAACCUUCGCCUAGUUGAUUGCUUUCCAGAAGUCAUGCCGAUCGGCAAUUGUACAGACGGUAUGUUUCGGUGUAACAACGGCUCCUGCUUGAACAAGACCCGCGUCUGCGAUUUCACCUUAGAUUGCGCCGACGGCGAAGACGAGGGGUCCAACUGCGACAAGAUACCAGAGAACGCGAGGUGCAACUUCGAGAAGGGUUGGUGCGGGUGGACAAACGUUCCCGAGAGACCCUUAAACUGGACUCUUCACAGGGGCUCCACGCCGACCGACAGAACCGGGCCUCAUUACGAUCACACGUACCGCAAUGAAACCGGAACGUACGCGUACGUGAACAUGGCUUCGAAGAAAGCGGGUGUCAUGUACGGCAGUCGAGGCACCAUUUCGAGUCCUGUCUAUAAUCCGACACCACCUUACAGCAGCAAUCCUAAAAGCGAAUAUUAUCAAUCGUGUCAAAUACGCUUUUUCUACCACAAGUUCGGUGCGCAUAUCGGAUCUCUUGGGAUCUAUUUGGUCCAAGUAAAGCCAUACGGAAAUCAUAGUGAGAGGUUGUGGUGGUCCUUCGGAGCCAAAAACGACGUUUGGUAUGGCGAGGCCGUUCCUCUACCUAACAUAAGAUAUAGAUACUUCUUGCAAUUCGAAGCGUCCAGAGGAUAUUCUACGAAAGGUGAUAUAGCGAUUGAUGACAUUUCCCUGAGUCCAGAAUGUUUUGGCAUUGGAGUUCCACCGGAAGUUGUAGGCAACUUUAAUUAUUAUGAUCCUGUUAUUGAGUCUGAAAAGAUGCCGCCGCAACAUCCGGAUUUUGCAAACGAGACGGUCAUUCAAAUUACCACUUGUGGAGUUAACGGCAGGUUCGGCCCCACUGUUCAGGAUUGCGUUGAGAAACAUAAUAAUACAGACAUAGAAAUAGUUGUGCCAUCAACAACAGGAAAUCAGGAAGAGAGAAGUUUGAAUGGAGUCCAACGAUGGACUGCACCACGCGGCGAAUACUACACUUUAAUUGCUGUCGGAGCACGAGGAGGAAAGGGCUUUAGCAACAGCGGCGCCACUUUGGGUGCGCUUGUUCGUGGUGUUAUAGAGCUUCAGAAGGGCGAUCAGCUGUAUUUUAUGGUUGGUCAAGUGGGAACAGACGCCUGCCCAAAAAAUCUUGGCCUGAAGGUAGUCGUCUGUCGAUCGAAUCAAUCGGACGACUUGUCUUCAUCGACGUCGAAAGUGCGAGACGUAAAGAAUAUUGAAAUUAAGGAUCCUGGCGGUGGUGGCGGUGGUGCAACGGCCAUCUUCAUGAAAGCGAACGGCGAGUCGGAACCCAUCUUAAUCGCAGGUGGUGGCGGUGGUUUGGGGUUGAAUCCUUCUAUGGAUGAUGGAUUACAACAUGGACGCGGUCCUUUUCUUCCGAAUAGACCAAUCUCUUGGGCCGAUGUUACAGAACACAUGGGUGGACAUGGUGGUAGUUGGAACGGUACUAGUUUUCAACGAGAGGCCUCGGGAAUGUUAUUGAGUCGUGGAGGUAUAGGAGGACGCGGUUGCGAGACCGGAACCGAAGGUCAUGGCAACGGAGGCUUCGGUGGAGGUGGAGGUGGUUGCCGAUCGGGAGGCGGCGGCGGCGGUUAUAUUGGUGGUAAUGCUGGGCACGCGGAUUAUGCAAGUGGUGAAGGCGGUUACUCAUACGCCAACCGGAAGCUCACCAAUGUAUACUUCAAACCUGCAAUCCACGCUGGUCCGGGUGAGAUCUUCAUCAUACCCGCGAUCAGCGGUUGUGGAUGUGAUUACCGUUGCGUCGCGCUCGAUCAGUAUUUGAGCGAGACCAGGUGUCUCUGCCCUCAGGGUUGGCGGCUCAGUAACGAUUCCAGAUCCUGCAUCAUGACUGACGAUUCUAAGGAUGGACACCAAACGUAUGUCAUCCCACUUGUAGCUGUAGUUGUUGGCCUGUUCAUUAUCAUUGGAAUUUGCCUAAUAUCUUAUAAACGAUACCAAAACCAAAAGGCGCUUCUACGCCGCCGCCAAGUGAUGUUCGGCAACGGCACGGAAUUGACCGCGUUGCGUGCGGUGUCGGACACAAUGAUGACCGAAUUCAACCCCAAUUAUGAAUUUGCUGGAAAUCUCUACAGCUUCAAGGACUUGCCGCAAAUACCCCGCGAUUGUAUUACAUUAGUAAAACCCCUCGGCCAAGGCGCGUUUGGCGAAGUUUUCCAGGGCGUCUACAAAUACAGACGCGGCGAGGAGCACCCCGUCGCCGUAAAAACGCUACCGUCUUUAUCUACGACACAGGCAGAGGCUGACUUUAUGAUGGAAGCAUUAAUAAUGAGCAAAUUUAAUCAUCCUAAUAUAGUACACUUUAUCGGCGUCUCUUUCGAUAAACAUCCGAGAUAUAUCGUUCUCGAAUUAUUAGCCGGAGGCGACCUAAAAAAUUUCCUACGCGAAGAACGGCCUCGAUCAGAUCGGCCUACAUCAUUAACGAUGCUAGAUCUCAUUAUGUGCGGCUACGACGUCGCGAACGGCUGUAAAUACAUGGAGGAGGCGCGUUUUAUACACCGAGACAUUGCCGCUAGGAAUUGCUUGUUAACUACUAAGGCACCAGGACGUACCGUUAAAAUCGCAGAUUUCGGUAUGGCCAGAGACAUUUAUCGGAGCGAUUAUUAUAAAAAAGGCGGCAAGGCCAUGCUGCCCAUAAAGUGGAUGCCACCCGAGAGUUUCCUGGACGGAAUAUUCACGACGAAGACCGACGUUUGGUCCUUCGGUGUACUCCUGUGGGAGAUUAUGUCAUUCGGAUAUAUGCCCUAUACUGGAUGUGCAAAUCUCGAGGUCAUGUCGAUGGUUACGUCCGGCGGCCGUCUCGAGAAACCCGCGGGGUGCCCGGAUCCUAUAUAUGGGAUCAUGACGCGAUGCUGGCAUCCACGCCCUGAUGACAGGCCAAGUUUUUCCACCAUCGCCGAAAGGAUUGGCUAUUGCUUGCAGGACCCUGAUGUGAUAAAUCAACCUACGCCUAAUUUUGAUAUAUUGCCAAUUUGCGAUCGUGAAAUAACAAUCAUGAGACCGGAUUCGGAAGCGGAAUGCAUCAACGUGCGGUCUGAGUUGGACGGCUACAUGCAGCCGAGGGUUAUCGAUCCGCGAUCUGUUGCACGACGUGUGGAUCAAGCUAUGGGAUGCACCGCCUAUGAUUCGGAGAAUGAAAAAUCGACCGAAGACUGCAAGUUGUACGGCGGGAAAUCGACGGGAUGCCGGCAAGGAACGUACAGUUGCAAUACGUACAACUCUAGUCCGGAUGCCUUUGAGCAAGUGUAUAGCAACAACGAUCACGAUGAAGAUCAGGACGACGACGUGAUCGAAGAUUGCAAGGACAAAUAUAAGGUUGACCGUUCGGAUCAACAAGACAGCAGGGCAAUACAUCGAACCAGCGACAUCGAAGACCACGUAGACAAUGGCAACAACCGUCCAGAGGAUGAGUGUCAUCUGACUGCCAAUAAUGCAAUAACGAAUCGCAAAAACGGCAAUGAGAGCACAACGACUACCGACACCAACUCCGACUCUUUGAUAGCACAAUCCUCGGAUACCCCGCCCGAUACGACAAACUCAUCGCCCAACACGCGCACCUGUUCACCAAGCCGUACAAUCGGCCUCAAUGCCAACAUCAGCAACGUGAACGGUAUGGUGAAGAAGACCGCCCUGAAGGCAACCCUGAGUCUGGACCCGAGCGCGCUUUGCAGAGGCACCAUCCCCUAUGAGAAGAUCACAACGCAAGCGCAACGCUCGAGCACACCAGGCAGUAUGGAGCUAAGGAAGGUAACUUGACCUCCCCCUACAUCCGGCGUCCUGCAAAGUUUCCACCUGUACAUGAUCGUGGUCCUUGAUUGAAGGAUUCCCUGGGUCAUGAGCUACCGAGGGAGGAGGAGUGUUCCUGCUGAGAUUUAUCUGAGGGGGGUUGACGAGGCUGCCCGGCCGCGCUCGGCUGCAACACCACUCGUCGAUUGCAGCUGCAACGAUCGGCCACGAUGACUGCGGUCAUAAAGGACACGCAACUCGUAGAACUCUCCUCGCCUUUAUGGGCCCUGGACAACGAAUACUCGCGUCGUUUCCAUUCCGAGGAGACUCUCCUGUGAACGGGAAUCGGAGGGGG